rnacentral:snRNA from 1 species
GUUCCUUUGGGGACACUCGAUAAAAUUGGAACGAUACACAGAAGAUUAGUAUUGUGGCCCUUGCGUAAUGACACGUACAAAUUUCAAAUAAUUAAGUGAUUU